GUGUGAAUCAAAAGCGUGAACGUCAGAAACUCUGCGGAAUGACACCAGGCACAGUAGCAGGGCCAAUUUUGCAGAGAGCUGUCGAAGGGAUAAGGCCUCGUUAGGAGGCCAGGACUCUAACAGUGCGAAGACCCGAGAUAUGUCCCAGAAGCCAGAGUAUUUGGCAGAAGGUGGCCUCGUCAAACGAAUGCCUCGUAAAAGUCUGCACACAGAAGGAUGUUUCCCAACUAAGGAAUUAUCAAUAGGGUCAUGUCCCGCCGAAAUGGCGGAACGAAAAACAUUAAUUGAUCGGUAUGAUUUACCCUGAUCGAAAAGGGAUGAUAGAAA